GACGAACGCUGGCGGCGUGCUUAACACAUGCAAGUCGAACGGUGAAGCGCCUUCCUUUUUGGUGGGUGUGGAUGAGUGGCGAACGGGUGAGCAACACGUGAGUAACCUGCCCCCUUCUUCUGGAUAACCGCAUGAAAGUGUGGCUAAUACGGGAUAUUCUGGGUCUGUCGCAUGAUGGGUCUGGGAAAGAUAUUGUUUCGGUGGGGGAUGGGCUCGCGGCCUAUCAGCUUGUUGGUGGGGUGAUGGCCUACCAAGGCGGUGACGGGUAGCCGGCCUGAGAGGGUGGACGGUCACACUGGGACUGAGACACGGCCCAGACUCCUACGGGAGGCAGCAGUGGGGAGUAGUGCACAAUGGGCGCAAGCCUGAUGCAGCGACGCCGCGUGAGCGAUGGAGGCCUUCGGGUUGUGAACCUCUUUCGCCAGUGAAGCAGGCCUGCCUCGUUUGUGGGUGGGUUGACGGUAGCUGGAUAAGAAGCGCCGGCUAACUACGUG
rnacentral:rRNA from 1 species